rnacentral:rRNA from 1 species
AGUGAACGCUGGCGGUAGGCCUAACACAUGCAAGUCGAACGGCAGCACAGUAAGAGCUUGCUCUUACGGGUGGCGAGUGGCGGACGGGUGAGGAAUACAUCGGAAUCUACUUUUUCGUGGGGGAUAACGUAGGGAAACUUACGCUAAUACCGCAUACGACCUACGGGUGAAAGCAGGGGAUCUUCGCACCUUGCGCGAUUGAAUGAGCCGAUGUCGGAUUAGCUAGUUGGCGGGGUAAAGGCCCACCAAGGCGACGAUCCGUAGCUGGUCUGAGAGGAUGAUCAGCCACACUGGAACUGAGACACGGUCCAGACUCCUACGGGAGGCAGCAGUGGGGAAUAUUGGACAAUGGGCGCAAGCCUGAUCCAGCCAUACCGCGUGGGUGAAGAAGGCCUUCGGGUUGUAAAGCCCUUUUGUUGGGAAAGAAAAGCAGCAGGUUAAUACCCCGCUGUUCUGACGGUACCCAAAGAAUAAGCACCGGCUAACUUCGU